UCGCCAACGCCGGGGAGCUCGGGACAGCCGGGCUGAGAGGACGGGCCGUGGCACCUUCGGGUGCCGGCGCCUGUCGACCCGUCAACCUGAACUGGGUAAUGCCAGCGGAGGGAUGCGACAGGCUCGCCCUU
rnacentral:ncRNA from 1 species